rnacentral:rRNA from 1 species
AAACUAACAAGGAUUCCCCUAGUAGCGGCGAGCGAAGCGGGAAGAGCUCAAAUUUAUAAUCUGGCACUUUCAGUGUCCGAGUUGUAAUCUCUAGAAGUGUUUUCCGCGUUGGACCGCACACAAGUCUGUUGGAAUACAGCGGCACAGUGGUGACACCCCCGUACACGGUGCGGACGCCCAGCGCUUUGUGAUACACUUUCGAAGAGUCGAGUUGUUUGGGAAUGCAGCUCAAAUUGGGUGGUAAAUUCCAUCUAAAGCUAAAUAUUGGCGAGAGACCGAUAGCGAACAAGUACCGUGAGGGAAAGAUGAAAAGCACUUUGGAAAGAGAGUUAACAGUACGUGAAAUUGUUGGAAGGGAAACGCUUGAAGUCAGACUUGCUUGCCGGAGCUUGCUUCGGUUUGCAGGCCAGCAUCAGUUUUCCGGGGUGGAUAAUGGCGGUUAGAAGGUAGCAGCUUCAGCUGUGUUAUAGCUUUCCGCUGGAUACAUCCUGGGGGACUGAGGAACGCAGCGUGCUUUUAGCGGGGGUUUCGACCUCUUCAC